GCUGGAAUCUCUCGGGGUUACAGCCUUGCUGAAUUAUUCACCCUUGUCUUUUGCGUACUUCUUGUUUCCUUGGUGGGUUCGCCCACCACUAGGACAAACAUAAACCUUUUGUAAUUGCAAUCAGCGUCAGUAACAAAUUAAUAAUUACAACUUUCAACAACGGAUCUCUUGGUUCUGGCAUCGAUGAAGAACGCAGCGAAAUGCGAUAAGUAGUGUGAAUUGCAGAAUUCAGUGAAUCAUCGAAUCUUUGAACGCACAUUGCGCCCUUUGGUAUUCCAAAGGGCAUGCCUGUUCGAGCGUCAUUUGUACCCUCAAGCUUUGCUUGGUGUUGGGCGUCUUGUCUCUAGCUUUGCUGGAGACUCGCCUUAAAGUAAUUGGCAGCCGGCCUACUGGUUUCGGAGCGCAGCACAAGUCGCACUCUCUAUCAGCAAAGGUCUAGCAUCCAUUAAGCCUUUUUUCAACUUUUGACCUCGGAUCAGGUAGGGAUACCCGCUGAACUUAAGCAUAUCAAUAAGCCGGAGGAA
rnacentral:rRNA from 1 species